GAGGGCCCCGCACAAGCAGCGGAGCGUGUGGUUUAAUUCGAUGCUACACGAAGAACCUUACCAGGGUUUGACAUACAAGUAGUAGGGAAAGGAAACUGGACCGACCCUUCGGGGAGCUUGAACAGGUGCUGCAUGGCUGUCGUCAGCUCGUGUCGUGAGAUGUUCGGUUAAGUCCGCUAACGAGCGCAACCCUCGCUGUGUGUUACAAGUGUCACACGGAACUGCCGGUCAUAAACCGGAGGAAGGUGGGGAUGACGUCAAGUCAGCAUGGCCUUUAUAUCCUGGGCUACACACACGCUACAAUGGGAAGGGACAAUAGGUUGCGAAACCGCGAGGUGGAGCCAAUCCAGCAAAACUUCCCUCAGUUCAGAUUGCAGGCUGCAACUCGCCUGCAUGAAGUUGGAGUUGCUAGUAAACGCAGGUCAGCCAUACUGCGUUGAAUACGUUCCCGGGGCUU
rnacentral:rRNA from 1 species